CAGCGAGUGGAUUUGUUGUCUUCCUUCUCUCAGUACAAGUGAUACAGGCUCAGAAUGGCUGGGGAGUGACUUACACCUCUACUCAGAUCUGUGCCUUAAAAGGAUCAACAGUGGAAAUAAGCUGCACCUACACAUACCCAUCCAGAAUAAAUGGCCGUGAUACUACAGUUCAGGAAACAUUCUGGUUCAUUAAAAUGAAUGGAGAUGUAUAUACGGAUCUGAAAUCAGACUCAGAGUACGCAGGUCGUUUUUAGUACAUUUGUUCUAACAACAUCUGCACUCUGAGAAUCACAGACCUGAGAGAGAGCGACUCAGCUGAGUACAAGUUCAGGUUCAUAACAAACCAACCAGGUGGAAGAUUUACUGGCUCACCUGGAGUCACUUUGUGUGUCACAGGUAACGCUUUUGUUGGAAACCAUGUCAGUUAGCUCCAACAUGCUCAACAUUUAGGAAACACUACAGUGAAUCUCGGUGUGCCUGUUAAAAUGAUAGUUUAAUCUAAAAUUAUAUUUUUGUUUCUUUGCAGAUACAGGUUUCCAGGUGCAGAUGAGCAGCUCACAAUCAUGCAUGUUGUACACAUGUACAUGGUCACAGCUGAAGUGUCUCAGCAGCUGUUGUCUACCUGAUCAAACCUCCUACAUCUGGUACAAGAAUGGACAGAAAAUUAAUGAAGCAUCUUCUUAUUCAGACUACUUUUAUCCUGCAGACAGCUAUUCAUGUGCCCUUAAAGGAUGUGAAGAUUUUCCUUCUCCACCAGUGUGUGUCCAUGAUCACUCCUGCAACAGAGUGACUUACACUGACAGAAGCAUCUGUGCUGUCAAAGGAUCAUCAGUGGACAUUUCUUGUACUUACAACAGUUAUGAAACUAUCAGAUCUAAAUUCUGGUUCAGACCUGAACGUAGUCUUCAGUGGCAGAAUCCCUCACAGCCUGAGGACCUUAGUGAAGACUCCCAGUAUGCAGGUCGUGUUCAGGUCCUUGAAACAGAGAGAGGACGCUCCACUCUGAGAAUCACUGACCUGAGAGAGAGCGACUCA